rnacentral:rRNA from 1 species
GAUGAACGCUAGCGGCAGGCUUAAUACAUGCAAGUCGAGGGGUCAGCAAUGACACCGGCGGACGGGUGCGUAACGCGUAUGGAACCUACCUUUAUCAGGGGGAUAGCCCGGGGAAACCCGGAUUAAUAACGCAUAACAAAUGAUAAGGCAGCUUAUAAUGUUGAAAGAUUUAUUGGAUAGAGAUGGUAAUGCGUAGGAUUAGCUAGUUGGUGAGGUAACGGCUCACCAAGGCGACGAUCCUUAGGGGCUCUGAGAGGAGUAACCCCCACACUGGCACUGAGAUACGGGCCAGACUCCUACGGGAGGCAGCAGUAGGGAAUGUUGGGCAAUGGGCGAGAGCCUGACCCAGCCAUGCCGCGUGCAGGAAGACGGCCCUCUGGGUUGUAAACUGCUUUUGAAUGGGAAGAACGGUAGGCCUGCGGGCUUAAUUGACGGUACCAUUAGAAUAAGCCACGGCUAACUACGUGCCAGCCGCCGCGGUAAAAC